AGUAUUGAAACACCAGUUCCCAUAUGAACAUUAAAGUUAAGCAAUGUCAAACCUGGUUAGUACCGAGAUGGGUGACCACUUGGGAUUACUAGGUGCUGUAAG